AGCGUUUACCGCUGGCCGAACAAGGUCUGGCGUGGUUAAUGCCAACAGUGGUGAUGGUGGUUCUGGCCAUUAUCUGGGAUCGCGCGGCAGGUCGUCAGGUGACCUCCAGCGCUCACUAAAUCACUGAACAUUUGUUUUAACACACGGCGGGUGCUAACGUCCGUCGUGAAGAGGGAAACAACCCAGACCGCCAGCUAAGGUCCCAAAGUCAUGGUUAAGUGGGAAACGAUGUGGGAAGGCCCAGACAGCCAGGAUGUUGGCUUAGAAGCAGCCAUCAUUUAAAGAAAGCGUAAUAGCUCACUGGUCGAGUCGGCCUGCGCGGAAGAUGUAACGGGGCUAAACCAUGCACCGAAGCUGCGGCAGCGACGCUUAUGCGUUGUUGGGUAGGGGAGCGUUCUGUAAGCCUGUGAAGGUGGCCUGUGAGGGUUGCUGGAGGUAUCAGAAGUGCGAAUGCUGACAUAAGUAACGAUAAAGCGGGUGAAAAGCCCGCUCGCCGGAAGACCAAGGGUUCCUGUCCAACGUUAAUCGGGGCAGGGUGAGUCGACCCCUAAGGCGAGGCCGAAAGGCGUAGUCGAUGGGAAACAGGUUAAUAUUCCUGUACUUGGUGUUACUGCGAAGGGGGGACGGAGAAGGCUAUGUUGGCUGGGCGACGGUUGUCCCGGUUUAAGCGUGUAGGCUGGUUUUCCAGGCAAAUCCGGAAAAUCAAGGCUGAGGCGUGAUGACGAGGCACUACGGUGCUGAAGCAACAAAUGCCCUGCUUCCAGGAAAAGCCUCUAAGCAUCAGGUAACAUCAAAUCGUACCCCAAACCGACACAGGUGGUCAGGUAGAGAAUACCAAGGCGCUUGAGAGAACUCGGGUGAAGGAACUAGGCAAAAUGGUGCCGUAACUUCGGGAGAAGGCACGCUGAUAUGUAGGUGAAGCGACUUGCUCGUGGAGCUGAAAUCAGUCGAAGAUACCAGCUGGCUGCAACUGUUUAUUAAAAACACAGCACUGUGCAAACACGAAAGUGGACGUAUACGGUGUGACGCCUGCCCGGUGCCGGAAGGUUAAUUGAUGGGGUUAGCGGUAACGCGAAGCUCUUGAUCGAAGCCCCGGUAAACGGCGGCCGUAACUAUAACGGUCCUAAGGUAGCGAAAUUCCUUGUCGGGUAAGUUCCGACCUGCACGAAUGGCGUAAUGAUGGCCAGGCUGUCUCCAUCCGAGACUCAGUGAAAUUGAACUCGCUGUGAAGAUGCAGUGUACCCGCGGCAAGACGGAAAGACCCCGUGAACCUUUACUAUAGCUUGACACUGAACAUUGAGCCUUGAUGUGUAGGAUAGGUGGGAGGCUUUGAAGUGUGGACGCCAGUCUGCAUGGAGCCGACCUUGAAAUACCACCCUUUAAUGUUUGAUGUUCUAACGUUGGCCCCUGAUCGGGGUUGCGGACAGUGUCUGGUGGGUAGUUUGACUGGGGCGGUCUCCUCCUAAAGAGUAACGGAGGAGCACGAAGGUUGGCUAAUCCUGGUCGGACAUCAGGAGGUUAGUGCAAUGGCAUAAGCCAGCUUGACUGCGAGGAACCUCGAGGCCGUGCGUGCGGCUCUGCUGGCUGAUAAACCCGUUUCGCAAAGCGAUCUGAAU
rnacentral:rRNA from 1 species